AGAGUUUGAUCCUGGCUCAGAACGAACGCUGGCGGCGUGCCUAACACAUGCAAGUCGAACGAGAAUUUUCCCUUCGGGGAAAUAGUAAAGUGGCGCAAGGGUGAGUAACACGUGAAUAAUCUGCCUACGAAUUCGGGAUAACGCGGCGAAAGCUGUGCUAAUACCGGAUAAGACCACAUCUCUUAAGGGGUGUGGCCAAAGGAACCUCAAGUUCCGUUUGUAGAUGAGUUCGCGAACCAUUAGCUUGUUGGCGGGAUAAUAGCCCACCAAGGCGACGAUGGUUAGCCGGCCUGAGAGGGUGAUCGGCCACACUGGAACUGAGACACGGUCCAGACUCCUACGGGAGGCAGCAGUGGGGAAUAUUGCGCAAUGGGCGAAAGCCUGACGCAGCAACGCCGCGUGAGGGAUGAAGGAUUUUGGUUCGUAAACCUCUGUCAAAUGGGAAGAAUUCUGACGGUACCAUUAAAGGAAGCCCCGGCUAACUCCGUGCCAGCAGCCGCGGUAAUACGGAGGGGGCAAGCGUUGUUCGGAAUCAUUGGGCGUAAAGAGUAUGUAGGCGGCUAUUUAAGUCAGACGUGUAAGCCCACGGCUCAACCGUGGAAUUGCGUUUGAAACUAUUUAGCUUGAGUUCAGGAGAGGAAGGCGGAAUUCCCAGUGUAGCGGUGAAAUGCAUUGAUAUUGGGAAGAACACCAGUGGCGAAGGCGGCCUUCUGGUCUGAUACUGACGCUGAGAUACGAAAGCCAGGGGAGCGAACGGGAUUAGAUACCCCGGUAGUCCUGGCCGUAAACGAUGGGCACUAGGUGCGGGAGGUAUCGAUCCCUUCCGUGUCGCAGCUAACGCAUUAAGUGCCCCGCCUGGGGAGUACGGUCGCAAGGCUG
rnacentral:rRNA from 1 species